UCUCCGUUGGUGAACCAGCGGAGGGAUCAUUACUGGACUCGCAAGACUCCUACAACCCCUGUGAACCUUACGAAACGCACGUUGCUUCGGCGGGCUGCGCCUGCCCGGGGUCCGCCCCGGGCUGCGCGCGCCACGGCCCGCCGGCAGCACACAAACUCUGUCUCUUUUGCGUUGGCAUCUCGAGAAAAGACACAAAUAAGUUAAAACUUUCAACAACGGAUCUCUUGGUUCUGGCAUCGAUGAAGAACGCAGC
rnacentral:misc_RNA from 1 species